rnacentral:lncRNA from 1 species
AUUACAUGUACUUGUUAAUGAUUUCAAAGUUUAAAUAUAAAAUAGUAAAAUUGUUGUUUAAUGAAUUUUAACAUAUUAGAAGGGAUUUUUCUCUGUUUGUGAUAAUUUCACCUUUCCUGAGCAGUGUGAGAAACGUAUUUCUCAUCACUAAUGAAAUACCUGUUCUCAAAAAACACCACUUUCUGCAUAUUUUUGAAUAGGAAGCAUAACAAUCAUUUGAGAAAUAUAUUCCACUACUAUUACUCGUAUAUUACAACAUUUCUCUACUCAACAAUUAAAUUUGCAUUAUUUAAAGUCAGGCAAGCCUCACGCUUUAAAUAUUAAAAUUAAACUGUCUUGAGUGGAGAAAUAUUAUAACAUACUUGUUGCAGUGAUGGAAUCUAUCUAUAUCUGUAGUGGUACAUGUAGAAUCCUGUUUAGGCUUUUAUACAUGGUAUUAUCUAUAUUUUUACCACAACCUGAUUAUUGCUAUGUUUUGUUUGUUUGUCAAAGGCAGCUUAUUUUGUUUGAAGUAGAGUUGUCUAGUAUGUAAAUACAUGUAGUAGAUAUAGAUUACUUUUUAUGAAAGUUUGUGAUAACAAUUGGUCCAACGACACAAUUAUUGUCCUUUGAUUUUAUUUGUGAACAAAUUUAGUCCCUCUUGUGGACAUUGUAUUACUUGCAAAUAUUUUUCAUACUCCUUCUUAAUAAUUUUUUUGAAAUUUUCUAUAAUUAUGUUAUUAAUCUCAAAAGUAAUACAACACACACUGUAAAAAUACUACUGUGAAAGCACAGAUGCUUUUUUUUAUUAGCAUUUAUUGUUUAAAAGAAAUGCACUACAUAUUAAUUGUGUAAUAAGGCCAAUUAUAGUAGAUUUUUCUUAUUUAUCACAAUUUAGUCCAGAUAUUAUUUUCAUAUUACAAUUCAUUUUUUUUUUAAACCCAGUAAUUUUAAUAUCAUAUAAAACAAAUGUUAGAUUAAAUUCAGUGCUUAAAAACAUAUUUAAGGUGGUACAUAACACUACAGGGAGAUAACUCUGUAUUAAUCAGCUGAACGUUUCAAUUAGGUUCUGUUGUUCAGGAAAUUUAAGCUUCUCAAUGAUCAUAAUUGUUGUGAGUCAAAAUGCUAUUUGUCCAAUGAAAAAUUUUCUGAUAAAAUGUGUGG